AUCUAAGCCAAGGAGAGAGAAGCCCCAUUAGCAGCAGCAUGCACAGUCCCUCCCUGCUUACCACCCCACCCCCACCUUCCCUGACAGCACCACUUCCCUAAGCAAGAACCAGAGCAACCUCAUGAAGGAAAACAGGAGUGAGCUCUGGAGGAGCAGCUGCUCUGAGCCUAGCCUGAUUGGUCUCCCAUGUUGCUGGGGCCAUAAGGAAAAUGCUGGCCAGCAGAGGGAGGAUGUGGUUGGAGUCAGUUGUGAACACAAAGACCCAUGGAAACAAACAGCUCACAGCUUCUUCCUCCUGAGCUUCUCUACUCCAGGCGUCUGGGGCCAACAGGGAAAUCCAGAGGCUACUCACCAGUCAGUUGCAUCCGGAUCUACUAUAGGCCAGGUCCUGGUCUUAUUGGAGUUUCCCUGGAGUCUGGCCCACAUGAGGCUCAGUGAAGAUUGGUACUCACAUGGCGGAGCGGGCUGAUGAAGGAGCUCCAGACUCCCCAGCUUCCCUGUUCUGACAUAUCUAUCCCCCAGAACUUGUUGGAUACAUUCCCCAUCCC